rnacentral:rRNA from 1 species
UACGGAGGGGGCUAGCGUUAUUCGGAAUUAUUGGGCGUAAAGGGCGCGUAGGCGGCCCGGUAAGUCAAAGGUGAAAUCCCUCGGCUCAACUGAGGAACUGCCUUUGAAACUGUCGGGCUCGAGGCCGGGAGGGGGUAGCGGAAUUCCCAGUGUAGCGGUGAAAUGCGUAGAUACUGGGAGGAACACCGGUGGCGAAGGCGGCUACCUGGACCGGUUCUGACGCUGAUGCGCGAAAGCGUGGGUAGCAAACAGG